CCUACGGGUGGCUGCAGUGGGGAAUAUUGGACAAUGGGGGGAACCCUGAUCCAGCCAUGCCGCGUGUGUGAAGAAGGCCCUCGGGUUGUAAAGCACUUUCAGUGAGGAAGAACGCCUGGUGGUUAAUACCCAUCAGGAAAGACAUCACUCACAGAAGAAGCACCGGCUAACUCCGUGCCAGCAGCCGCGGUAAUACGGAGGGUGCGAGCGUUAAUCGGAAUUACUGGGCGUAAAGCGCGCGUAGGUGGCUUGAUAAGCCGGUUGUGAAAGCCCCGGGCUCAACCUGGGAACGGCAUCCGGAACUGUCCAGCUAGGGGGCCGGAGAGGAAGGUAGAAUUCCCGGUGUAGCGGUGAAAUGCGUAGAGAUCGGGAGGAAUACCAGUGGCGAAGGCGGCCUUCUGGACUGACACUGACACUGAGGUGCGAAAGCGUGGGUAGCAAACAGGAUUAGAUACCCGGGUAGUC
rnacentral:rRNA from 1 species